AGUCCAUGGUGAGGACACCUUCUCAACAAAUCUUUAAACCUCUCCAAUGUAUCACAAAGUAUCUCAAUAUCUAACUGAACAAAAGAAGAGAUGUCAUUAGUCAACUU
rfam:Gossypium raimondii Chr05_contig_383, whole genome shotgun sequence.